CAUGCAAGUCGAACGAAGUAGUAAUACUUAGUGGCAGACGGGUGAGUAACAUGUAGGUAUCUGCCCUUUGGCCUGGAAUAACACGAGGAAACUUGUGCUAAUACCGGAUAAGUCUUUACGGAGAAAGCUUUAUGCACCAUUGGAUGAGCCUGCACUUGAUUAGUUUGUUGGUGGGGUAAUGGCCUACCAAGACUGUGAUCAAUAGCUGAUUUGAGAGGAUGAUCAGCCACAUUGGGACUGAGACACGGCCCAAACUCCUACGGGAGGCAGCAGUGGGGAAUCUUGCACAAUGGAGGAAACUCUGAUGCAGCGAUGCCGCGUGAGUGAAGAAGGCCUUUGGGUUGUAAAGCUCUUUCGUCGGGGAAGAAAAUGACUGUACCCGAAUAAGAAGGUCCGGCUAACUUCGUGCCAGCAGCCGCGGUAAUACGAAGGGACCUAGCGUAGUUCGGAAUUACUGGGCUUAAAGAGUUCGUAGGUGGUUGAGAAAGUUGGUGGUGAAAUCCCAGAGCUUAACUCUGGAACUGCCAUCAAAACUUUUCAGCUAGAGUAUGAUAGAGGAAAGCAGAAUUUCUAGUGUAGAGGUGAAAUUCGUAGAUAUUAGAAAGAAUACCAAUUGCGAAGGCAGCUUUCUGGAUCAUUACUGACACUGAGGAACGAAAGCAUGGGUAGCGAAGAGGAUUAGAUACCCUCGUAGUCCAUGCCGUAAACGAUGUGUGUUAGACGUUGGAAAUUUAUUUUCAGUGUCGCAGCGAAAGCGAUAAACACACCGCCUGGGGAGUACGACCGCAAGGUUAAAACUCAAAUGAAUUGACGGGGACCCGCAC
rnacentral:rRNA from 1 species